rnacentral:ncRNA from 1 species
AUACACAGUUACAUAUAGAUACUCAGGACAACUGGCUUGUGGAAGCCAAGCGUCCAUAGCGACGUUGCUUUUUGAUUCUUCGAUGUGGGUUCUUCUUUUCAUUGCAAAGCAGAAUUCGCCAUGCAUUUGAAUGCCCCAUCCACUAAUAGGGAACGUGAGCUGGAUUUAAAGCGUCGUGAGAGAGGUCAGUUCUACACAAUUGUUGACAUACUGUUACGAUAGUAAUCCUGCUUAGUAUGAAAGCAAUAGAGGUUCAGACAUUUGAUUCAUAGAUUUGACCGAUCGGUCAAUGGUUCUAAGUUAACACCUGGGAGAUUAAGACUGAACGCCUCUAUGUCAGAAUCCUACUUAGUCAAGGUGACGAUAACUUUGUUUCCCGGUGUCGGAAGUCAACCACAUCUGAUGACAUAUAUAAGGCAUGAAAGUACAUGCUGUAGUAUACAGCUUUGCCUGUAUGGAGAAUUCGUGCUAGUUACCAAAGCCAAAGCACUCUGGUUCAAAAUCGGGGCGCAAAAUCACAUGUAUACGACGUGUAUGUUGGUCAUGGUAUUAAACCCAGUACAGCAGCGCUUGAUUU